ensembl:lncRNA
ACCGGUCGAUCUUCGUUCCUAUCCUCACCUAUGGUCAUGAGGGCUGGGUGAUGACCGAAAGGACGAGAUCGCGGGUACAAGCGGCCGAGAUGAGUUUUCUCAGAAGGGUGGCUGGCGUCUCCCUUAGGGAUAGGGUGAGAAGCUCAGCCAUCCGUGAGGAACUCGGAUUAGAGCCGCUGCUCCUUUACUUAGAAAGGAGUCAGCUGAGGUGGUUCGGGCAUCUGGUAAGGAUGCCCACUGGGCGCCUUCCUUGGGAGGUGUUUCAGGCACGUCCAGUGGGGAGGAGACCUCGGGGAAGACCCAGGACUAGGUGGAGAGAUUAUAUCUCAACACUGGCCUGGGAACGCCUCGGGAUCCCCCCGUCAGAGCUGGUCAAUGUGGCCCGGGAAAGGGAAGUCUGGGGCCCCUUGCUUGAGCUGCUCCCCCCGCGACCCGACCCCGGAUAAGCGGAUGACGAUGAGGAUGAGGAUGAGGAUGAGUAAGCAAGUAGCGGUGUUCACGAGCGUAUUUGUAGAAGCAAUACUUUGGAGAACUACACGACAAGAUGUCUACUACAAAGAAGCAUCGAGCCAUGGGGUCUGAGGAGUGGGUGGCGCGCCUGAAGGCAUUUGCCUGUUCUGGCACUUGGCCCUCCGGUGCAGGGAACAGGCCAUCUCCUGAACGGGGCAAGUGGCACAACCUCUACCAGAAGAUUGAGAAGUGUCCCAUGAUGCUGCGUGGGCAGACCUCAAUCUUGAGGGUAGCGCAGACAUGUUCCUGUGGCUUUCACCCUCGGCAGUCUGUGAGUAGUCCUGCAGCAUCCAGGCCAGCUACCUCAGCCUCCACUUCAGCUGCCUCAGCGGCGCCUGUACAGAGCCCUGGGAGGCCUGCAUUGACGCUGUCAAUGUUUGAUAAAGCGCGGUUCGGCGGGACUUUGUCUGCGGCAGCCAGGCCUAAUGUCAACGUGACCAGGAAGCAUGUCGAGCGUCCCCCCAGCCCUGCCACUACCCCAGCUGGGAGAAGCACUCCCUCCGCUACCCCACCUCCAGCGACGCCCCCUUCCAGUCCGAGAUACAUUAGGCCCGUCUCCCCUUUCUCUCUGCCCCCAUCCAGCCCUGUAAUGUCCUCUGUGAGGACCGGCUCGUUCCCUCUGGUUGCAUCAGAUAGGAGUCUUGCUCCCCCUGGUCCUGUCCCUGCUCCGCCUGGUCCCGUCCCUGCUCCGCCUGGUCCCGUCCCUGCUCCCCUGGUCCCUCCCUGCUCCCCCUGGUCCCCUCCCUGCUCCCCCUGGUCCCGUCCCUACCCCUCCUUGUACUUCUUCAUUUCUGGGUCCGGCUCCACAACAGUUCUGGCUACCAGCAGAAAUGAAGAAGACCAUUCCCCAGCAAGACCAGCGCUGGAUUGCAUCCACGCUGUGGAGGAACCAGCGGCUGCGCCCAGACCUACAGCUCUGGUAUGAGCCACCGGUGCCAGGCCUGAUCUACAAUCAGGUCCCGUCACCAGAUCGUUUUUUACGCACUGGCUCCUGGUGUGGAUGCCCUACCACCUUUGGAAGGUGAGGCUGUCCUGCCCAAAGUGUGGGAAGCAGCUCACCGGGGCCGGCAUGCACAAGAGGGCACGGCAGGUCCUGGACGUGGACAGGUACUACCUGAUGGUGACGGAGACCCUCAGGUGCAACGCCCUCGGUUGCGUCACCAUUACCUGUCCACGAGCCAGACCGUCCUGGACCAGCUGAGCCUGCCUCUCCGUGGGGAGUUCCGCCUCAUCCUGACACGCAAGUAUGCGUGUGACAUCCGCGUCAUCAGGAUGCUAUGGGAGAGGACCCUCGGCAACAGCUCUACCCGCCUAGCCAAACAGCUGCGGGAGAACCACGGCGAGGAGUGGCUGCAGCGUGUGGCCCGCUACCUGGAGGUGUGUGCCGACUUUGUGGACCAGCCGAGUCUCUUCCCUGUGGUCUGUCAGGAGCCCCCCGAGCCUGUGGCUGUCCCGACCAACAGGUGGCUCCUGACCGUGUACGGGAAGGACUUGAUGAGCCGUAUGGACCACAUCAAGGCCAGCAUCACCUCUACCUUUGGCGCCAUUUUAAAAAUGGAUUCCACAAAGAAGGUGACCAAAAAGCUGGCUGGAGCAGCCAAGGGGACCGCGCUGUGGAUGUCCUCCGUCAGCAAUGAGGUGGGGCAGGUCCUGAUCAGCGUGCUGACGGCCCAGGAGGGGCCUGGUUUGGACCGGAUGGUGUCGGACCUCAUCCGGCGCUACAGCCAGGCGGGCGUAGCUCCCCCUCUGCUCCUCUAUGUGGACUGUGGCUGCUGCAGGGAGACGGACGGGGAGACCAAGCUGAAGGCCAGGUUCAGCGGGUGGCCGGACCUCGUCGUCCGGCUGGACAUCUGGCACUUUCUUCGGCGGCUCGCGGCUGGAUGCACGACCGACGCCCACUCCCUGUACCCCGUCUUCAUGGCCAGCCUCUCCGCCUGCCUGUUUGAGUGGGACCCUGCAGAUGUGGCCCUUUUGCGCCAGGCCAAGAGGGAGCAGCUUCGGAAGGAGGGUGUGCCCGUCAUCUCCGAUUCUGUGGUGGACAGCAGAAUCACCAAGGCUCAGUUGGCGCAGUACUGCAGGCGGAGGACCCGCGGAGAGGAGGCCACCAUCCACCUCGUUGAGAGCCUGCUGCAGGAGCUGAUGGGGGACAGAGGCAGGGACCUGCUUGGUGUUCCACUCCUGGACCGGGUGAGGAUGGAGCACAUCUGGCGGGUUCAGAAGAGGCACGUCAAGUGCAUCCAGGACCUGCCAGGUGUGUCUCUCUACACAGAGACCGGCACCACCACCACCAAGGAGGGCGUCCUCCUGACAAAGUACAGGUGUGCGCGAGGUUCAACGUCCCUGGAGUCCUUUCACUGCCAUCUGAACCGGUUUAUUCCAGGGACCCAGGCCAAUGACCUCAACUUCCAGCUGUACCUGCUGGAUGGGCUCACCAGGUGGAACCAGGACCGGGCUGCUGCUGCUGUGACUGAGAGUAGAUCAGCCCUCCUCAGCUACUCGGGGGACCUGGUGCAGUGUGUCAACACACACGGCUCCAAGGUGUUUGGACGGAAGUAUGUCCCCUCCUUCCGCCCCCCCGCCAAGUACACUGGAGAGUUGAUAGGUGUCGACUACCUCUACAGGCAGACGGGGAACAGCAUGCAGGACAUGGAUCCUGAGUUUGAGGGCACAGAGCAGCUGCUGGAGGACUUGGCCCUGGGCGACGAGGCAGAGGAUGAGGGCUUCCAGGAGGACGUCAUUGACCCCACAGUGACGAGUCUGGAGGUCAUGUCUGCCUUCAUCGCCACUGCACCACCUGCCCAAUUCUCCUCCAGUGGUUCCUGGUGGUCCUCUCUUCCGCCGCCACCACCACCACCUGCUCAGCCCUCCACCAGUGGUUCCUGGUCCUCUCUUCCACCUCCUCCUUCUCCGCCGCCACCACCACCACCACCUGCCCAGUCAUCUGCUGUCACCGCUCCGGGUGCUGCCCCACAGGUUCCUGUAGAGCAGGCGGCAGUGGAUGUAAACAACAUCCCGGGCCUGGACAGGGUGGACCGCCUGGCGGAGUAUCUGGUGGGGCUGAGGAACUAGACCAGCCUGGCCCUGAGUAACCAGGACGUCAGCAGCAUCGUGGGCAUGUGGGAGGACCUGCUGCCCUACGACCAGCAGAAGGUGGUCUUUUCUGCACGGCACCAGGACAGGCUGCUCACUGGGCGAUUCAGGUCGCCCAAAAAAAAGGCUGAGUUCACGCCUGGUGUGGAGAGUGUCAGGAGGUGCACCAUAGCAUCCACUGCAUCUCCUGCACAGUGGCCAGACUGCUGCCGUGUCCUAGAGUCCAUCUUCGUCAGGCUCUGCAACAUCCACAAGUGUCCGUCCAAAAAGGGGAAGACGGACAAGCGCCUGACGAGAUGGACUCUGAUCCUGCAGGACUACCGCAGGAUAAGGCAGCUGAUCCUGGCCAAUGGGGCCGUGAUGACCAGCACCUCCCUGCAGCUGGUGGAGGUCAACCAGACCACCCUCAUACAGUGGCACAACAAGAGGGUGGCCAGGCAGGAUGUAUCAUUGUUGUGCCAGGGGGUUGACCUACCUGCCCCCAUCCCAGUGGCCACCGAGGCCUUACCAGCGGCUAUUGUCCGCCCCGCUAUUGCUCCUCAACAGCCUGGUGUUGAGCACAAGUACCAUCUUCCAGAGAGCACAGCGGGGCGGGCAAAAACCAAGAAGAGGAAGGCCACCGCUACAGCCACCGCAGUACCAGCUGUAAGGCCCCGGAUGGCCACAGAGAGGCAGCUGUAAGGCCCCGGAUGGCCACAGAGAGGCAGCUGUAUCCCCGUCCUCCUCAGUUUGGAGCCCCUGCCCCUGUCUGCAGCAGCACCCCUGCCCUCAGCCGUGCCCCUGCUCCGGUUGGCUUUGCCCACCCAGGCCUCACCCAAGCCCCUGCCUUCUUCAUGACCCAAGCCCCUGCCUUCUUUGGCACUCCUGCCCUCCCCCAAGCUCAAUCCCACCCCAGUGCACCCCCCUUUGUGUUUGCUGUCCCCUCAGCAGUGCCUCCACAUGCCCCCCCCCGAAAAAAAAAGACAUAUAACAGGACUGGGGAAGCAAACAAAUGCCGAAAGUGUGGGGAGCCCCGGACUGCAUUUACUGGACACAGCCAGUUCAGGGGGACCAUUUACUGCCCCUCAAUUGAGCAGGUGACAAAGGAGCAGUGGUUGGAGGGAAUGCGGAAGAGUAAAUAAACAUAUAUUUCUUUUUAAGAAA